rnacentral:rRNA from 1 species
UACGUAGGGGGCGAGCGUUGUCCGGAUUUAUUGGGCGUAAAGAGCUCGUAGGCGGCCUGUCGCGUCGACUGUGAAAACCCAGGGCUCAACCCUGGGCCUGCAGUCGAUACGGGCAGGCUAGAGUGCAGUAGGGGAGACUGGAAUUCCUGGUGUAGCGGUGAAAUGCGCAGAUAUCAGGAGGAACACCGGUGGCGAAGGCGGGUCUCUGGGCUGUAACUGACGCUGAGGAGCGAAAGCGUGGGGAGCAAACAGG